rnacentral:rRNA from 1 species
UACAGGGGGGGCAAGCGUUGUUCGGAAUUACUGGGCGUAAAGAGCGUGUAGGCGGCCAGACAGGUCCGUUGUGAAAACUCGAGGCUCAACCUCGAGACGCCGAUGGAAACCGUUUGGCUAGAGUCCGGAAGAGGAGAGUGGAAUUCCUGGUGUAGCGGUGAAAUGCGCAGAUAUCAGGAAGAACACCCGUGGCUAAGGCGGCUCUCUAGUACGGUACUGACGCUGAGACGCGAAAGCGUGGGGAGCGAACAGG